rnacentral:rRNA from 1 species
GAUGGACGCUGGCGGCGUGCCUAAUACAUGCAAGUCGAGCGAACAGACGAGGAGCUUGCUCCUCUGACGUUAGCGGCGGACGGGUGAGUAACACGUGGAUAACCUACCUAUAAGACUGGGAUAACUUCGGGAAACCGGAGCUAAUACCGGAUAAUAUAUUGAACCGCAUGGUUCAAUAGUGAAAGACGGUUUUGCUGUCACUUAUAGAUGGAUCCGCGCCGCAUUAGCUAGUUGGUAAGGUAACGGCUUACCAAGGCAACGAUGCGUAGCCGACCUGAGAGGGUGAUCGGCCACACUGGAACUGAGACACGGUCCAGGCUCCUACGGGAGGCAGCAGUAGGGAAUCUUCCGCAAUGGGCGAAAGCCUGACGGAGCAACGCCGCGUGAGUGAUGAAGGUCUUCGGAUCGUAAAACUCUGUUAUUAGGGAAGAACAAAUGUGUAAGUAACUAUGCACGUCUUGACGGUACCUAAUCAGAAAGCCACGGCUAACUACGUG